UCUCAUUUUCAAACCAACCCGUGUAGAAAGAAAAAGGAGAUGCUUUUCAGAUUCCCAACCACUCUCUCACUCUCUCACUCUCUUUCUAGAAUAUGAGAGAUGCUAUCAUUUCUCCAACCUCAAGCCCAACGCCCAUUCUUACAACCUUCUCUCUCACAACAGCUCCACUAUCUCUCAUAGCUCUUCAUUAUUGUCUGCAACCUGAAGCCCAACAACAUACACACCUCUGCGUCUCUAUAAUCAUGAAAACUGAGAUGCAUGAAGAAUCCGGUAAGCUCCGGCGAUGUCAAAGAUCUGGAGGAUGAGCGACAGAGCAAGUCCGGGAGGCGAUCCAAAUGAUGCAGCCUUGGCUGCCUUUCCGAUGACGGAGCCACGAGAUUGUUUCGAUAAUAUUGAAUAUAUCGCGAUAUUAUCGAUAAUAUCGAUAAUAUUGCGAUAUUUUGACGACAAUUAUUGUGAUAUUUUGACGACAAUUAGAGAAUACGUGGGAAAAUAUCGGUUUCUCUGAUAAACGAUAAUAUUGGCGAUAUUUCACUGAUAUUAUCGAUAUUUUAGUCAUUGGUGAGAACUAAGAAGUAAAUUGAAAGAAAAUAUCGGCAUAUUUAGUAAAA